rnacentral:lncRNA from 1 species
UUUCCAUCAAGAAACCUAGUGGCCAGUGGAGGUGUCUAAAAUAUUCUAGAUUAUUUGGAAUCACAAACACAUCUCCGCUUAUGUACACAUAUGCUAACGAAAAAAAAUGAGAUUUAACAUUUUUUUAAAGUCAUAUAAUUAUUAGCUUGUGAAUUAAAAUCAAUUAAGUUUCAUAUGACAUACACAUAGACCUAAUAUGAAAGUGAA